GGUCAGGACGAACGCUGGCGGCGUGCCUAACACAUGCAAGUCGAACGGGGAUUUGUUUCGGCAGAAUCCUAGUGGCGAACGGGUGAGUAACGCGUAGGCAACCUGCCCUCCGGCCGGGGACAACACUCCGAAAGGGGUGCUAAUACCGGAUACGAAGUCUGUGCCGCAUGGUACGGAUUUGAAAGAUGGCCUCUAUUUAUAAGCUAUCGCCGGGGGAUGGGCCUGCGUCCGAUUAGCUGGUUGGUGGGGUAACGGCCUACCAAGGCGACGAUCGGUAGCCGGUCUGAGAGGAUGAACGGCCACAUUGGGACUGAGACACGGCCCAGACUCCUACGGGAGGCAGCAGUGGGGAAUCUUCCGCAAUGGGCGCAAGCCUGACGGAGCAACGCCGCGUGAGUGAGGAAGUUCUUCGGAACGUAAAGCUCUGUUGUUCCUGACGAACCUCCCUUCUAUCAACAACGGAAGGGACUGACGGUAGGGAACGAGGAAGCCACGGCUAACUACGUGCCAGCCGCCGC
rnacentral:rRNA from 1 species